GCCGCGGGGUUCAUCUCUACGGCAGCCUCUCUCUCUCUCUCUCGCUCUACUUGUCCUUUCGGCUUAUACAUUUUCUAUUUGUAGACGGGAAUUAACAGGCUUUUGGUUCACCCCCCAUCCCCCCCAGCUCGGGACAAGCAGAAAAACAGGGACCGUAAGCAGCAGCAGCACAGCUCCCUCCCUAGCUUUUUAAAGUCACGUUCGGGGACUUGUGACUCCUCCAGUCAGGUGGAGGUGGCGAAGACAAAAGAAGCUGAUCCAUGUGGGUCUGUGCUGCUCCAGCUGACAUCACUCUGUGAAUGGGUGGAACGCCUGUGUGUCAUGAUAAGAACCGACGACCCCCCCCUCCUCCAUGGCCCCAUGCAUACUGGCUGGUCUUUGUUGCUGCUACCUCGUGCAAACGGGCAUGGCCACGUGCUUCUCUGGCUGCGAGCAGAGGCCACGCCUUCUCCUCCCUCUGAUCCGUCAGUUUCGGAGGCCAAGUCCUGCCCCAACAACACUCAGAGGAUCUGCCUCCCAUGCUGGAUGACGUGGUUUUUACUCAUGCAUGCUCACCAUGCUCUCUCUUAGUCACACCUACAUGUUGUGACUGUGCAACAAAUGUAUUCACAGAAUUGAGAAACAUGCUUCUUUUUUAUUUAUUUUUUUACAUAAUUUGUAUGUAAUUUAUCUCCGGUUUCCCUUUAAUUGUUUUUUUCUGAGCGCUUUAACUUUAUUUGUUGCUCUGCUCAUCUCUUAAUACACAGUGCGGUGGCUUGAACUUUUCACAUUUGUCGACUUACAACCACAACUUGAAUGUGUUUUCUUGGGAUUUCAAAUCAUAACGAAAUGGCCCAUCAUUAGGUGGAGGGAAAAUUGUAAUACUAAUAAAAUAAUCAAUGAAAAUAUAAUAAUAUAUUAUUAUUAUUUAUUCCUACCAAUCCACAAAUGUACCUCUAACAUGCCUCCAUUAACCAAAAUCAUAAAUUUAAUGGAGAAAAAACUUUUAAACAUUUUUAAUGCUAAAGAGGGAAU